GGCCCACAAACCACCAUCGUUCAUAUUUUAUUGACCUAAGCUUUUGAUUUAAAAUUAAUUAGACGUCAGCCCCUAAGGAACUCGAGCUUAAUAGGACAAAUAAUCUCGAAAGUUGAACUGGAUCGAAUCUAAUUGAUCAGUUGGUGUUUAAAAAAGUGAUUCAGAGAUUACAUCUUGAAAGAAGAUAGUUCUUUAAUUAGUUUCAUUCAUUGACCUGGCCAAUUUAGUCGGUGUCUAAAGAAAGCAACAGGAGGACCCCCACCAAUCUUACAUUUACUUGGC
rnacentral:lncRNA from 1 species